CUUCUUUCUUAUCAUCUUCGUUCUCUAUUUUCUGAAUCUUUGUAUACGUGCUUCUCUUCUCGAUCAACGACCUAUCGCCCUCUACCAUCACAUCGAUAUACUCGAACUCACCUGAAAUCCAAAGGCCACAAUCCGUCGGCGAUGAUCUGCCUCGAAUCGUAGCUGAUCCAAAACCCCCGGAUUUCUUCACUUCGCACCUUCAGCCAUGGAAGCUCUGCAAGCUUCCCUCCCACAAGUCCCUCACAUCCAAUUCGAACCCGACAGUGAUAAAAUCAAACGCAACCUCACCAAGAAAGGUGUCCACCCAACUCGCAAGAUCGUCCACACCGUCCGUAAAAAAGAAAUCCAAAAACACAACCGCAAGCUCAACCGCCUCACGGAGGCGGAUCCAUCUUAGCCGUUCUCGCAGACCCAAAAACAGGCCUUGGCGGCCGAAGAAACCCAUUUCCGAACUCUCAAGCGCGAGUUCAGGGACUUCACCAAAGCGGUCAAAGCGAAGAGUGGUUGCGAGGAAUUCAUGGUUGGAAGGCCUUGGGAGGGGUUUGAGAGAAUUGGGUUCCGAGAGCUCGCCAGUACUAGUGCGGAGUACGGCGGAGAGAAGCUGAAGAAGGAAGAGUCUUACAUUUGGGUUUUAGGUUGAGAUCGUGAGGUUAGUUCUGGGUUGGUUCUCUGAGAAAAGGGAAGAAGACUUCUCAGGUUCGAGUGAGAGAGGAGAGUUGUGAUAAAAAAAAAUUAAUAAAAAAAUAUUUGCCGCAGUAAUAGGCAUUCGCGGACUAAUCUUGUCCGCCUUUAGAAAGUGUUGUAGUUGUUAUUUUCUACUGUUAUUACUGAUAU
rnacentral:sRNA from 1 species